GGGUGAUUAGCUCAUCUGGGAGAGCACCUCCCUUACAAGGAGGGGGUCGGCGGUUCAGUCCCAUCAUCAUCCACCA
rnacentral:tRNA from 1 species